rnacentral:rRNA from 1 species
GACGAACGCUGGCGGCGUGCUUAACACAUGCAUGUCGAACGGAAAGGCCUCUUUCGGGGGGUACUCGAGUGGCGAACGGGUGAGUAACACGUGAGUAACCUGCCCUUGACUUUGGGAUAACUUCAGGAAACUGGGGCUAAUACCGGAUAGGAGCUCCUGCUGCAUGGUGGGGGUUGGAAAGUUUCGGCGGUUGGGGAUGGACUCGCGGCUUAUCAGCUUGUUGGUGGGGUAGUGGCUUACCAAGGCUUUGACGGGUAGCCGGCCUGAGAGGGUGACCGGCCACAUUGGGACUGAGAUACGGCCCAGACUCCUACGGGAGGCAGCAGUGGGGAAUAUUGCACAAUGGGUGGAAGCCUGAUGCAGCAACGCCGUGUGCGGGAUGACGGCCUUCGGGUUGUAAACCGCUUUCGCUCAUGACGAAGCUUUGUGUGACGGUAGUGGGUAAAGAAGCACCGGCUAACUACGUG